GGGCUGCGCGGUGCCUGCCGGAGGCUGCGCUCGGGCUGCAGGGACGGGCGGGGCCGGGGUGGGCGGCUGGCCGGCCUCGGGGGGUGGCCCACAGGCGAUAAAGCACUGCUGGAGCCAGGGACAGGUGUUCGUGUUGACAUAGCUCUGAGGAACGGAAGAGCUGGGAUGAGCUUUCCAGGCUUCAGAGAAAAUGGAAACAGAUUUUUCCUCAGACUUGAGAAAGGAGUGGGCUUUGCUAAAAUUAGAUCCAUCUCUCUUAUGCCUUCCUGGGAAGUCACAAGCAUAUUCAGAAAUCCGCCCGCCCAUUCACCAUAGUAUGAAGCUGGAUAAACCAGCUGCUUUUUCUAUUGGAUGCUAUACUUCAAUGCCUGUUGAAGUCAAUGCAGAGUUCUUGUACUCAGCUGUACUCAAAGAGGAUUUUUUGGGUUUUUUUUCUUCAGUUCUCGUGUUUCGUCUAAUAAGAGAUAUGUUGGUGUACAAACCCAUCUUAGAAUAAUUUGCAGCUACAGCAAUGCUAAUGGUGUAAGGAAAAAAAGUUACUCAAUUGCUUCUGUGAUGAAGGGCAAUUGCUCCCUCUGCUGUGUAAUCUCCUGCCAGAAGCUCUGCACUUGCAGUAGUCACUCAACUUUGCUUUUCCUGUGACACAGUUAUGUUGCUGGGUGUUGGUUCUGUGUGCAUUUUGGGAAGCCCUCAGUCCCUGGACUUUCAAUACCAUAACACUAAUUUUUUUGU